GAUGAACGCUGGCGGCGUGCCUAAUACAUGCAAGUCGAGCGAAGCGGGGACGGGUGAGUAACACGUGGAAAACCCCCUAUAAGACUGGGAUAAAUUCGGGAAACCGGAGCUAAACCGGAUACUUGGAGAUGGAUACGCGAGUCAUUAGCUAGUUGGUAAGGUAACGGAUUACCAAGGCAACGAUGCAGAGCCGACCUGAGAGGGUGAUCGGCCACACUGGAACUGAGACACGGUCCAGACUCCUACGGGAGGCAGCAGUAGGGAAUCUUCCGCAAGGGGCGAAAGCCUGAAGGAGCAACGCCGCGUGAGUGAUGAUGGUCUUCGGAUCGUAAAACUCUGUUAUUAGGGAAGCGGGACCUAAUCAGAAAGCCACGGCUAGCUACGUGCCAGCAGCCGCGGUAAUAC
rnacentral:rRNA from 1 species